rnacentral:rRNA from 1 species
AGUGAACGCUGGCGGUAGGCCUAACACAUGCAAGUCGAACGGCAGCACAGUAAGAGCUUGCUCUUACGGGUGGCGAGUGGCGGACGGGUGAGGAAUACAUCGGAAUCUACUUUUUCGUGGGGGAUAACGUAGGGAAACUUACGCUAAUACCGCAUACGACCUACGGGUGAAAGCAGGGGAUCUUCGGACCUUGCGCGAUUGAAUGAGCCGAUGUCGGAUUAGCUAGUUGGCGGGGUAAAGGCCCACCAAGGCGACGAUCCGUAGCUGGUCUGAGAGGAUGGUCAGCCACACUGGAACUGAGACACGGUCCAGACUCCUACGGGAGGCAGCAGUGGGGAAUAUUGGACAAUGGGCGCAAGCCUGAUCCAGCCAUACCGCGUGGGUGAAGAAGGCCUUCGGGUUGUAAAGCCCUUUUGUUGGGAAAGAAAAGCAGCAGGUUAAUACCCCGCUGUCCUGACGGUACCCAAAGAAUAAGCACCGGCUAACUUCGUG